rnacentral:rRNA from 1 species
CAGUAGCCGCGGGAAUACGAAGGGUGCAAGCGUUAAUCGGAAUUACUGGGCGUAAAGCGUGCGUAGGCGGUGAGUUAAGUCUGCUGUGAAAUCCCCGGGCUCAACCUGGGAAUGGCAAUGGAUACUGGCAAGCUGGAGUGUGUCAGAGGAUGGUGGAAUUCCCGGUGUAGCGGUGAAAUGCGUAGAGAUCGGGAGGAACAUCAGUGGCGAAGGCGGCCAUCUGGGACAACACUGACGCUGAGGCACGAAAGCGUGGGGAGCAAACAGGAUUAGAGACCCCCGUAGUCCCUGUCUCUUAUAC